rnacentral:rRNA from 1 species
CGUAGGGUGCGAGCGUUAAUCGGAAUUACUGGGCGUAAAGCGUGCGCAGGCGGUUGUGUAAGACAGGCGUGAAAUCCCCGGGCUCAACCUGGGAACUGCGCUUGUGACUGCACGGCUAGAGUACGGCAGAGGGGGGUGGAAUUCCACGUGUAGCAGUGGAAUGCGUAGAGAUGUGGAGGAACACCAAUGGCGAAGGCAGCCCCCUGGGUCGAUACUGACGCUCAUGCACGAAAGCGUGGGUAGCAAACAGGAUUAGAUACCCUGGUAGUCCACGCCCUAAACGAUGUCAACUAGGUGUUGGGAGGGUAAAACCUUUUAGUACCGGAGCUAACGCGUGAAGUUGACCGCCUGGGGAGUACGGCCGCAAGGUUA